rnacentral:rRNA from 1 species
UACAGAGGUCUCAAGCGUUGUUCGGAUUCAUUGGGCGUAAAGGGUGUGUAGGUGGCGCCGUAAGUCGGGUGUGAAAUUUCGGAGCUUAACUCCGAAACUGCAUUCGAUACUGCCGUGCUUGAGGACUGGAGAGGAGACUGGAAUUUACGGUGUAGCGGUGAAAUGCGUAGAUAUCGUAAGGAAGACCAGUGGCGAAGGCGGGUCUCUGGACAGUUCCUGACGCUGAGGCACGAAAGCUAGGGGAGCGAACGGG